rnacentral:rRNA from 1 species
UUGAGGUGAAAUGCUUACACUUUCAUUUAUAGACUAAAUUAAUGUUUAAUAUUUAAUUUUAAAUUAUAAUAUUAAAUCUUAAUCUAACCUAUGGCAUUCAUCAUUUACUGCAAAGACUACUUGGGUAUCUAAUCCUGUUUGUGCUCUGUGCCUUCGUCCUUUAACGUCAGUUUUCACAUAGAGGGCUGCCUUCGCCUUUACCGAGUCCCUUUGGUAUCAUAGAAUUUCAUCUCUCCUCCUCAAGUACUGCCCUCUUACAUAAAACUCUAGUCAAGUACUAACAUUUUAGAAGCUAUAUUGACCGUCUAGGUACCCUUUAAACCUAAUUAAGAUGAAUAACACUAGUCUCUUACGUAUUACCGCGACUGCUGGCACGCAAUUAGUCAAGACACGAUAUAUAUACUGUCAUUAUCAAUAUAUAAACAAAGCUUUAUUCAAUUUUAAUACAAUCCUAUAGAU